ensembl:snRNA U6 U6 spliceosomal RNA
GCACUCCUUCCACAGCACAUAUACUAAAAAUUGUAGCGAUACAGAGAAGAUCAGCAUGGCCCUGUGCCAGGCUGACACGCUGGCGCAGGUGGGGUGCAGUGGCUCA